AGAACCUGAAACCAUGUGCCUACAACCGAUCAAAGCACCUUAUGUGUGUGAUGAUGUGCUUUUUGUAGAACGAGCCAACGAGUUACGGUAUGUAGCGAGGUUAAGUACUUAAGGUACGGAGCCGAAGGGAAACCGAGUCUUAAUAGGGCGACUAGUUGCAUGCUGUAGACCCGAAACCGGGUGACCUAUCCAUGGCCAGGUUGAAGCGAGGGUAAAACCUCGUGGAGGACCGAACCACGUUGCUGUUGAAAAAGCAUGGGAUGAGCUGUGGAUAGCGGAGAAAUUCCAAUCGAACUCGGAUAUAGCUGGUUCUCCUCGAAAUAGCUUUAGGGCUAGCGUCGUGAAAUGUGAGUACUGGAGGUAGAGCACUGAAUAGGCUAGGGGGCAUAGCGCUUACCGAACCUUAUCAAACUCCGAAUGCCAGAUACUAUCAGCACGGCAGUCAGACUAUGAAAGAUAAGUUCCAUGGUCAAAAGGGAAACAGCCCAGAUCGUCAGCUAAGGUCCCAAAGUGUAAGUUAAGUGGAAAAGGAUGUGGGAUUUCUAAGACAACUAGGAUGUUGGCUUAGAAGCAGCCACUCAUUAAAAGAGUGCGUAAUAGCUCACUAGUCAAGAGAUCCUGCGCCGAAAAUGUCCGGGGCUCAAACUUACCACCGAAGCUACGGGUUCACACUUAUGUGUGAGCGGUAGAGGAGCGUCGUAAUCGGGCUGAAGUCGUACCGUAAGGAGCGGUGGACUNUACUUUGUAUGAGCGGUAGAGGAGCGUCGUAAUCGGGCUGAAGUCGUACCGUAAGGAGCGGUGGACUGAUUACGAGUGAGAAUGUUGGCAUUAGUAGCGAGAUGUAGGUGAGAAUCCUACAGGCCGAAUAUCUAAGGUUUCCUGAGUAAAGUUUGUCUUCUCAGGGUUAGUCGGGACCUAAGGCGAGGCCGAGAGGCGUAGUCGAUGGACAAUUGGUUGAUAUUCCAAUACCACUAUAAUCGUUAUUAUCGAUGGUGUGACGGAGAAGGAUAGGAUGUGCCAGCUAUUGGAUGCUGGUCUAAGCGUUGAGGGAGUUAGAACAGGCAAAUCCGUUCUAACAAUCCUAGGGCGUGAUGGGGAAGGUUCCACGGAACCGAAGUAUCUGAUUUCAUGCUUCCAAGAAAAGCAUCUAGAAAGAGAAGUAGUGCCCGUACCGCAAACCGACACAGGUAGAUGAGGAGAGAAUCCUAAGGCCGACGGAAGAAUCACAGUUAAGGAACUAGGCAAAUUGACCCCGUAACUUCGGGAGAAGGGGUGCCUACCAAUUGGUAGGCCGCAGAGAAUAGGCACAAGCAACUGUUUAACAAAAACACAGGUCUCUGCUAAAGCGUAAGCUGAUGUAUAGGGGCUGACGCCUGCCCGGUGCUGGAAGGUUAAGGGGAACACUUAGCGCAAGCGAAGGUGUGAACUUAAGCCCCAGUAAACGGCGGCCGUAACUAUAACGGUCCUAAGGUAGCGAAAUUCCUUGUCAGGUAAGUUCUGACCCGCACGAAUGGCGUAAUGACUUGUGCACUGUCUCAACUGUGAAUCCGGCGAAGUUGUAGUGCGAGUGAAGAUGCUCGCUACCCGCGAUUGGACGGAAAGACCCCGUAGAGCUUUACUGUAGCUUAGCAUUGAAUUUCGGUAUUGUCUGUACAGGAUAGGUGGGAGACUGGGAAAUUAGGGCGUCAGCCUUAAUGGAGUCGUUGUUGGGAUACCACCCUGAUAGUAUUGAAGUUCUAACUGGAUGCCAUGAAACUGGUGACAGGACAUUGUUAGGUGGGCAGUUUGACUGGGGCGGUCGCCUCCUAAAAUGUAACGGAGGCGCCCAAAGGUUCCCUCAGAACGGUCGGAAAUCGUUCGUAGAGUGUAAAGGCAUAAGGGAGCCUGACUGCGAGACCUACAAGUCGAGCAGGGACGAAAGUCGGGCUUAGUGAUCCGGUGGUACCUCGUGGGAGGGCCAUCGCUCAACGGAUAAAAGCUACCUCGGGGAUAACAGGCUGAUCUCCCCCAAGAGUUCACAUCGACGGGGAGGUUUGGCACCUCGAUGUCGGCUCGUCGCAUCCUGGGGCUGAAGUAGGUCCCAAGGGUUGGGCUGUUCGCCCAUUAAAGCGGCACGCGAGCUGGGUUCAGAACGUCGUGAGACAGUUCGGUCCCUAUCCGUCGCGGGCGUAGGAAAUUUGAGAGGAGCUGUCCUUAGUACGAGAGGACCGGGAUGGACUGACCUAUGGUGUACCAGUUGUUUCGCCAGAAGCAUAGCUGGGUAGCUAAGUCGGGAAGGGAUAAACGCUGAAAGCAUCUAAGUGUGAAGCCCACCUCAAGAUGAGAUUUCCCAUAGCAUAAGCUAGUAAGACCCCUUGAAGACUACAAGGUUGAUAGGUCAGAGGUGUAAGUGCGGUAACGUAUUUAGCUGACUGAUACUAAUAGGUCGAGGGCUUGACCAAU
rnacentral:rRNA from 1 species